UACAGAGGGUGCAAGCGUUAAUCGGAAUUACUGGGCGUAAAGCGUGCGCAGACGGUUGCGUAAGUCAGAUGUGAAAGCCCCGGGCUCAACCUGGGAACUGCAUCCAAAACUGGCAAGCUAGAGUAGGGCAGAGGGUGGUGGAAUUUCCUGUGUAGCGGUGAAAUGCGUAGAUAUAGGAAGGAACACCAGUGGCGAAGGCGACCACCUGGGCUCAUACUGACACUGAGGUGCGAAAGCGUGGGGAGCAAACAGG
rnacentral:rRNA from 1 species